UCGCACAUCUCAAAUUAUUAAUUGAACUCCUUAAUUGUUACCUUUGAAUGAUUCUAUAUCCCUGCCCCCAUGCAACAUAUCUUCUGCUGUCUUCAACCAUUGAUGCCAGGGUAUUUGAUGAUGCAGCCAUAUCUGCAUGAGUCUCACACUCACAUCUUAAACUAUUAAGUGAACUCCUUAAGUGCCACCUUUGACUGAUUGAUGCUAUAUCACCAUGGCAUGCAACAUAUCUUCUGUUGUCUGCUACCAUUAAUGUCAAGUAUCUUUGUUGGUGCAGCCAUAUCUCCACGAGUCACGCCAUCUGCAUGCACUGCGUCGUGCAAGGGGCUCUGGUGGACGUUUCCUGAACACAAAGAAAGAGUCCAAUGGGAAGGAUGCUGGUGGCGACGGCAAGGCAAUGAUCAGCAAGCCGCUUAUGCGCCAGGUGGCAUCUCCAAGUUCAGAGAUCCAGCAGUCAGACCUGGGCAACCCGAGCAGCGUCUCCAGUCUGUCGGGCUCGGAGGUGUCAAGCAUAUACGAUCAUGAAGAUGUGGAUCACUACCACAGCUUUGAUCACCUCCGCACUCCGUUUUUCACCCCGCUCCCGAGCAUCAUGGACGGUGAGCAUGGCGGUAACCCCUUCAAGUGGCCAACAGCUUCUGAGGGCUGUUGUGACCUCCUCAGAGCAUGACUAGAGGGGUUACCGGACAGCCGAAUGCUAGGAACUGGCGACAACCGGCAGAAGCUGCCGGGCGUUAUCAGCUCCGGGUCAGGGAUCGUCCCUCCCAUCAUUUGGCUGUCGGUAGGCAAUUCAUUCUUGGCUGAAGGCAUGGUGAUUGUUUCCACUCGUCGCCUAAUUCUCCUAGAAACUCAAUUUCUGGGAUCUUGUGGUGAGUGGAACACCCCUUGCCCCCCGAAAAAAAUUUGUUGGUGGUACUAGCUACCAACACCAAACUCCUCUAGCAGGUUUCGAUGUAGUUUUCUGAAUAAAGCCUGAAACUUCGGACUCGUCUGAAGCUUCAGAGGUACUGGAAGUGGACUAGUGGAGUAUGUUUGGAAUCUGAUUGAGUGUGAAGACUAUGGAUUUGUGUGUGAUUGUAUUGUGGUGCGCUUGAAGCUUUGUGUGGACCUUGUAACAUGCGGUGUGUUGAAAGCUUGAACUUGGUAAUGUAAUAAUGUGUUGACUACUGAGACUUUGGGCUUGGUUUGUAUUUUGCUGUGUUGCACUGCAUGUCUCUUGCAAAGCAGGGGCAAAGAAUGGAUGCUGCUUGAAGCUAUAUGCUUGGAUACGCCGAAUCUGCAAAAAAAAAAGGCAUUGUGUAUGUGGAAAUCCUAUCAGGCUCCUGCAUCUAAUUUGUGUCUGAUGAAUGUGCAGAUUAAAUUUUCAUUAAUCCAGACCGUUGAGCCAAAUUGACUGGAAACUCAAACUAAACCUUUCGGGUUUUCAGGCUUGAUUUGCAAUGGAAAUCAAGCCAUUUCAGGCUUUAUGGGCCAAGAAAAUCCAGAUAGGACGCUACUUUCUUGGUGCUGAGUGCCGGGCACGAGCAGUUGUAGAGGAUCAUCAUGCCGUCUCGCUGGCGCGGGAGCCAAUAAGCGUGCGACCACCACGCAGCGAAGGCGCCACGACGGUACCGGAGAAGAGGACGACGAUUCGAUGCUCGUGCAGAGCUACUCCAGUGGCGCGGCCUGCCGCGCGGGGCGGACAGGGCGGGCGACGGCGGCGGCCAUCUCCGUCGGUCCCCACGCAGCGCCGCCGGUAGCGACGGCUUCGGUCCGCGGUUGCGAGCCCGUCCUCGACGACGAGCCGCCGCCGCCGGACGACGACGGGCGGGAGCCAGGGGAGUCGCCCAACGGAGGGACUGAUCUGUAAAUAUUUGGAUCGCGAUUAAUAGUCGCGAUCCAAAUGAGGGGGUUAAGUGAAAAUAUUCGGAUCGCAAUUAAUAGUCACGAUCCAAAUUAGGGGUUUAAGUGAAAAUAUUCGGAUCGUGAUCCAAACCAGGGACUUAUAUAUAAAUACGAGGGUACUAUUUUGCAAAUACUUGGAUCGCGAUGAAUAGUCGCGAUCCGAUUUAGGGUCCAUUUUGCAAAAUUACUAUCGCCGCCGCCUGCCGCCUCCGGCCUCGCCUUGGUCCCGCCGUUGGCUCGCUCAGCCGCGCCGCCUCGCCGUCUCCACCCACCUCCCCGCGAGACCCGAGGGCUUCACGCUUCGCCUCCGCGCCAAUGCUGGCGCCAUGGCCUUCCGCAACCGCGCUCGUGGCGGCGGCAGGAGGCGAGGAAUGGUGCGCGUGGACGGGCCGCGCGCUGGUCAGGCGGCGGAAGGAGCAUGGCAUGCCGCCGCUGAUCAGGAGGGGGGGGGGGCGUGCGCUGGUCACCUUCCCGCCGCCGCUAUUUGGCUCUUGAGGAGACGGCGACGUAAGCAUCCCGCUUCUCUGGUGGACGAGGAGGAGGGAGGGAGGCGGCUGGAGGCCGCGAGUCGACCGGCAUCCAUGGUAGUGAGCAGUUCACUUGCGAUCGUCUGUUUUGCCUGUAUGCCAGCUUUCAUUACAUUUGGCAACUGCCUAGGAUAGAAAGUUUCCAUGAUUUCAUCUAUUCUUGGUACCUGGUACACAUGUACUUCAUGUUUGCUUCUAAAUUUGACCUGUCCCUAUAUCCUCGGAUAGCAUUUUCUAGGAUUCCAAAGGUCAUGAUGUGCUCUUCUUCAUUGGUCAUAGUAUAGCACAUUUACAUUUUCUCCACGGUUUGAUUCAAUGAAGUAGUAUAGCUACUGUAAGAUUGUUGGUACCUUCUUCAUACACACCUGGAGUAGAGUAGUUGCUUUCUGUUAUUUGACAGGCACCUGAUAUAAGAUCCAAGCCUUUAAUAUGUGCCAGAGAAUAUUGAUUUUUUAUGAUAAGUAUUUUUUUCCCUCUCAUUCCGAGCUGGUCUGAACCCCCAGAAACAGCCAUAACCUUCUGAAUUAUGCAUUUGCUAUGCAAUCAAACAAUGAUUUCCAAAAACAAGAUACUGUUAGUUGCUUAAUAAACUUGAUCCUUUUUAUACUUGCACCCGUGUAGUGUUUCCAAUCAAACACCGUAAAUUACAAUGUCAUGGGUACAGGGACUCAUGAAUGAUGUUCUUCUCAUAUGCACUACCAUUUACUUGUGUUGAUUCGUUUCUUUUCUUAGUAUCCAAUAUUUUAGUUAUCCGUAAACAGAUUCUUGGCUCUAGCAACUUGAAUGUUGGAUCUAUGGCAGCUUUACUUUUAUUUUGGGAUAGAAGGAGCCAAAGGACCAUUCCUGAGAGCUUCUGUGUUUUGUUUCAUUUGGUUUCAGGUAAAGGGGAGAAAGGUUCAGAACACUCUGCCACUGUUGCUUUGCAACCACCGUUCGCAGUCUACAAUGGUCGUUUUGGGCCGGGCCUUGGUCAAUCAAUGUUAUGACUGUCCGUUUACUUUGUGUAUGCAUAUGUAUGGAGACAACUUCUUUGCGAUUAAAAUUUACUUUGCCUGACAUAACAAUUCAAAAUGCUUCUUCAUUCCGUGCUGCUGACUGGUGACUGAUUUUUGUGGUGUUAGGUUUCUGCUAAUAAUCCUUAUGCUGGGCAACACUAUGGCCUGCUUUCUCCGCUUCCCAUGGGAGCAACGGUAGGUUGUAUUAGUUUCAGACCAGACAUCUAUGGAAUUUCUGACUGAAUUUGUAGUUGUGGUAACAUAUCACAAAACUAAUACAUAUAUGUAAAAACGAAAACUUAUUUUAGUGAUCGACUAAAUUCCACAUUUUCGGAAAUUCAUGCAUUAGUUAUUUUCAGAUUUUCCCUGUUUUUCAAACUGUUUUUUACUGUUUAUGAACAUGAAAUUCACCUGUGCCCCAUCCUUUAAGUGCUUAUAUGUUUUCAUCAAUAAAUAAAAGGAGAUUGGCCACUAUAAUAUUGAACCAUGAAAAAAAUAAAACAAAGACAAGGUAAUCCAGGAGAUAAGUGUACUGGCGAUGGAUGAGCAGGUGUAUUAGCUAUAGUAUCGUGAUAUUUUCUUUUAUAAAUGUGGGGCUGGAAGCCAAAUCUUUUCUGUGGAAUUGGUAUCCUAAUGAGAACACAGAAAGGAAAUAUCUUUAUUUGAUGCUGCCAUUUGUCAAGUAGGAAAUCUGUAGAAUAUUCGUGAGUUGCUUUUGUUUUCCCCAUUUAUAUUUGUGGAUGCAACCUGGAGGGUGUGUGCGGAUACCACUGACCAUGCGAAGCAAUUUGAAGGCAUCUUUCAUUGGCGCCGUGCCCGUGCCAAAACAGAGAGGGUAAAUAGGCUGGUGAAAGCCAGAAAGGUAUCUCACACGUCUCAACCUAUUAAUUGAACUCCUUAAUUGUUACCUUUGAAUGAUUCUAUAUUUCUAUAUCACCAUGCCAUGCAACAAAUCUUCUGUUGUCUUCUAAAAUUGAUGCUAGUACAUUUAAUUAUGCAGCCAUAUCUGCAUGACUGAAUGAGUCACAUCUCAAACUAUUAAUCGAACUCCUUAACUGCCACCUUUGACUGAUUGAUCCUAUAUCACCAUGCCAUGC
rnacentral:lncRNA from 1 species